ACUUGACAUCUCUGGUUCCUCAGCUGUCUUUGAAUCAAGUAAUUUUCCUACUUGCAAUCUCAGGUCUGAACUAGAAAUCACAACUCCUUGAAAGCAACUUAAUCAGAGUUUUAAAAACCGACUUGGACUCUCUUUGAAUCAAGUAAUUUUCCCACUAACAAUCUCAAUUCUAAACUAAAAAUCAUAACUCCUUAAAAGCAACUUAAUCAGAGUUUUAUAAACCGACUUGGACCCGGUUGGUUUAUAAGAGGAUAGUUUCACGGCUUGUGACUGUAGGAAUAUCCGACCACAAUCCCAAAUAAUAAAAAAAUAACAGCAAAUAGAACAUCCCAGAAAUCAAAAGAUCAAUCCUUGGAGCUGGUCAAAGAAAAAAGUCAAGAAAUUUUGCCACGAUGAGAAGAAACAACAGACAGACAGACUAAGAACUUUUCGUGUCGGGUCGGAUAUAAUGAUCCGAAAGUUGGGUGGUAAGUUGCUCUCCGUAUAUUAAAAAAGAAAUAUCAAAGUUCGAGGAGAAGGUGAAGGGUGAGGCAAUGCAGAUAAUCGGAGCGUUUGAGGUUUUGCCAAAGCUCGGGGUUUUCGAUCUCGAUUACACUCUCUGGCCUUUCUACUGUGAGUGUCGAUCGAAGCGCGAAAUGCCUUCUCUGUAUCCCCACGCCAAAGGCAUAUUGUUAGCUCUCAAAGAGAAAGGAAAUAAUAUAUUCCAGUUGGACGCACAAGACGGAUCAUUUUCAGAGAAUUCAUUCGAGGGCCGGUGUCCCCUUCAACUCCAUGCUCUUUUUGGAUGAUGAGAAUAUGAACAUCCAAGCUGUGUCUAAAAUGGGAGGAGUGACUAGCAUUUUGGUUGGAGAUGGGGUAAACCUUGGGUCGUUAAGGGAAGGCCUUACACAAUCCUCUCGAAACUGGAAUGCCUCACAGAAGAACAAGCAGAAAUGGCUUUCCAAGUACUCCAACAAGACAGACACUUCCAACCCCGCUGCAUGAAAUUUAACAUCCCAUUGAUUUUUCUCUCUCUGGAUUCUGUUCAGAACCACAGUAUUCUUUUGUAUCAGUCGUUUCCCAUAAAAUAAAAUGAAGCAAACUGGGAUCUUAGUAUCAGCGACAGAGACUCGUAUGCACAUGGGAAACCUGGUAUUUCCAGCAGCUAUAUGCUUGAAUAUUCAGUUGGAAUUCUAUGGAUUUGAUUCAGAAACUAUUUGAUGAACAUAAAUAGAAGGCACAGCUUUCGUCCUGUUGCCUGUUGUGAGUGUUGUUAUUGUUAUACAGCGUUGAUGUUAUUGGAAAGUAAAAUUCACUAUACCGGAAAUUUUAGAUGGUAAAA